rnacentral:rRNA from 17 species
UGAUGGGAGCUGCUCCUAGUCCGAGAGGACCGGAGUGGACGAACCAAUGGUGUACCAAUUAUCUCGCCAGAGGUAUAGUUGGGUAGCUACGUUCGGAAAGGAUAAACGCUGAAAGCAUCUAAGUGUGAAGCCCACCUUAAGAUAAGAUAUCCCAUUGCGUGAAGCAAGUAAGAUCCCAUGAAGACUACAUGGUAGAUAGGUUGGGGGUGUAAG